ensembl:lncRNA
GCUGGGGAUUUAGCUCAGUGGUAGAGCGCUUGCCUAGCAAACGCAAGGCCCUGGGUUCAGUCCCCAGCUCCGAAAAAAAGAAAAAGGAAAAAAAAAAAAAAAAGAUUGCCCAUCCCUGGGCUGGGGACCACCCUUCCCAGGGCCCUGCUUCUGUAGAGAGGCCCGAGAGUACUCCUACUGUGUGUACUGUGCUGAUAGUAAUCAUCCUUGCAAAGAGCUGGCUCCUAGCACAUUGCUGGCUUACCCUGUGAUGCUUCUACCAUAAGGACAACUCCAUAAAAACCGUAUAAAUACCGGGCUUCAGAAAUACCGUACCAAGCUGGGCAGUGGGCAGUGGUGGCGCACACCUUUGAUCCUAGCACCCAGGAGGCAGAGACAGGCAGAUCUCUGUGAGUUCAAGGCCAGCCUGGUCUACAGAGCUAGUCCUAGGACAGCCAGGACCUCACAAACACUGUCUGGAGGAAAAAAGUAGGUAAAUAAGUAGAAUCUGUCAAAACAAAUCUGUCUCAUUAACAUAUCUGUAUUCCAUGGCAUGGUACCCGUGGAACAGCUCUUCACUUAAACCCUGCAGCUCUCACUAUUCAGUGUUGUUCCCAGACAGAAGACAGCUGUGCUCAGGUGAGGCUGAGUGUGGAAAAGCUGAGCGCCCUUUGCACAGUGCUCUUGCUGGAAAACUGGCGUUCGCAACGGGCGCACAUAAACAGAAUGAAAACCAUUGUCUAAAUAGUGUAAAAUAUUUGAGGGACCAGAAGGUCACAAAGUACAAAACUGUCCAGAGAAUUUCCUCCCACUGUCCCUGUCUCCUGCCUUGUGGGCCAAACGUAUCCGUUGGGUGGAGUGACCGAUUUUCUAUUCCUUUGCUGGUGUCUACUAUAGCAAAGUCAGAAAUCAUUUUUUUAACUUGUAAUGUUUCUUACAAAGUUAUUUUAUGGUUUACAAGCAACACCGAUGCAGAAGGGUGUGUUGAUUUCCGUAAGUGGCUGCAUUUUGUUUACAGGACUUGGGUAUUGUGGCUGACUGGGGUCCGGUCCUCAGCUCUAGCACUAGACCUGGGUCCUGGGGAAAUGUGGUCAUUGUGCUGUUCCCUCGUACCCAGGAUCAGUGAAAGUGUUUUCUCUUUUUACGUAGUUUGUAUGGACUGGGUUUUAUAAUGGUAAGAAAACAGAGUGUUGUAUUUUGAGCUGAAAUUUGUGUACGGUCAAGUAAUUCUGUUUUAUGUAUUGGAAGUGCGUUUACAACUUGAACUAUUUUCUAGAAGAGUGUUGGACAAAGUGAAUUGUCUUCAAGCUGUUUCAUUAACUAAUAAAAUCAUUUGAUGGGGAA